rnacentral:rRNA from 1 species
UACAGAGGGUGCAAGCGUUGUUCGGAAUUAUUGGGCGUAAAGCGCGUGUAGGCGGCUUUGCAAGUCGGGUGUGAAAGCCCUCAGCUCAACUGAGGAAGUGCGCCCGAAACUGCAGAGCUUGAGUACCGGAGAGGAUGGUGGAAUUCCUGGUGUAGCGGUGAAAUGCGCAGAUAUCAGGAAGAACACCCGUGGCGAAGGCGGCUCUCUGGUACGUGACUGACGCUGAGACGCGAAAGCGUGGGGAGCAAACAGG